CACGUAGUUAGCCGGCGCUUCUUAUCCAGCUACCGUCAACCCACCCACAAGGGACAGGCCUGCUUCACUGGCGAAAGAGGUUUACAACCCGAAGGCCUCCAUCCCUCACGCGGCGUCGCUGCAUCAGGCUUGCGCCCAUUGUGCAAUAUUCCCCACUGCUGCCUCCCGUAGGAGUCUGGGCCGUGUCUCAGUCCCAGUGUGACCGUCCACCCUCUCAGGCCGGCUACCCGUCACCGCCUUGGUAGGCCAUCACCCCACCAACAAGCUGAUAGGCCGCGAGCCCAUCCCCCACCGAAACAAUAUCUUUCCCACACCCACCAUGCAGCAGGCGCAGAAUAUCCCGUAUUAGCCCACACUUUCAUGCGGUUAUCCAGAAGAAGGGGCAGGUUACUCACGUGUUACUCACCCGUUCGCCACUCAUCCAGAACCAGCAAAAACCGGUCCCUUCACCGUUCGACUUGCAUGUGUUAAGCACGCCGCCAGCGUUCGUCCUCGAGCCAGGAUACC
rnacentral:rRNA from 1 species